rnacentral:rRNA from 1 species
GGGGAAUUKCCCCUWGUAACGGCGAGUGAAGCGGCAACAGCUCAAAUUUGAAAUCUGGCUCUCGGGCCCGAGUUGUAAUUUGUAGAGGAUACUUUUGAUGCGGUGCCUUCCGAGUUCCCUGGAACGGGACGCCAUAGAGGGUGAGAGCCCCGUCUGGUUGGAUGCCAAAUCUCUGUAAAGUUCCUUCGACGAGUCGAGUAGUUUGGGAAUGCUGCUCUAAAUGGGAGGUAUAUGUCUUCUAAAGCUAAAUACCGGCCAGAGACCGAUAGCGCACAAGUAGAGUGAUCGAAAGAUGAAAAGCACUUUGAAAAGAGAGUUAAAAAGUACGUGAAAUUGUUGAAAGGGAAGCGUUUAUGACCAGACUUGGGCUUGGUUGAUCAUCUGGGGUUCUCCCCAGUGCACUCUUCCAGUCCAGGCCAGCAUCAGUUUUCGCCGGGGGAUAAAGACUUCGGGAAUGUGGCUCUCUUCGGGGAGUGUUAUAGCCCGUUGUGUAAUACCCUGGCGGGGACUGAGGUUCGCGCAUCUGCAAGGAUGCUGGCGUAAUGGUCAUCAACGACCCGUCUUGAAACACGGACCC